AGAGUUUGAUUCUGGCUCAGGACGAACGCUGGCGGCGUGCUUAACACAUGCAAGUCGAACGAGGAUUACAUUGGAAGGGCUUCGGCCUGGAAGAUGUAAUUCGAGUGGCGGACGGGUGAGUAACGCGUGAACAAUCUGUCCCGGACAGGGGAAUAACACUUGGAAACAGGUGCUAAUACCGCAUAAGACCACGCCCUCGCAUGGGGGAGGGGUAAAAGGAGCAAUCCGGUUCGGGGUGAGUUCGCGUCCGAUUAGAUAGUUGGUGAGGUAACGGCCCACCAAGUCGACGAUCGGUAGCCGACCUGAGAGGGUGAUCGGCCACAUUGGAACUGAGAGACGGUCCAAACUCCUACGGGAGGCAGCAGUGGGGAAUAUUGGGCAAUGGGCGAAAAAGCCUGACCCAGCAACGCCGCGUGAGUGAAGAAGGCUUUCGGGUUGUAAAGCUCUGUUAUAGGGGACGAAGGAAGUGACGGUACCCUAUAAGGAAGCCCCGGCUAACUACGUGCCAGCAGCGGC
rnacentral:rRNA from 1 species